GGGACUCGCAGACAAAUUAAAAUUUAUUGAGACAGACAAAAAUGCAACUACUUAGUACUACAAUUCAGCAUUUACAAUUAACCAAGGAAAUCAGCAACAUGUUCACAUUCCAUUUAAAUCUUCAUGGGGGAAAAAGCAUUCAUAAUUUACUAUGCUACUCUAAUUAACUAUGAUAUUGUACAUUCCAUCUACAGUAGGGACAUAAAACUUAAACACUUAAUAUCUGGAUCUCUCCUUACAACGCUACACAUUAAACAGUAACGGACAUCAGCAGCAUUGAGAAAAGUAUAAAAAGACCAAAUACCACCUACUGUAGAAAGGGCUCUUUGAUGUGUAUUAACAGUACAAAGCAGUCUGUGCAAUAAAAGAAAACUGAAUGGCAGAAAGAAGAGUCUGCAGUGAAAGCCAUCAAAUUUCUAUGGAAAAAAAGAGAGUCUAAUACUGGGAGUUCUGGUGGUCUGUUGCAAAUAAUGACCCUAGAUUUAGUGGACACAAUCCGGCCAAAUUUAAUGAGUUCCCAUUGAUUUUAGUGGGAGAAAAUUAACCACAUGCUUAACACUGCCAUUAACUAACAUCAGUGUGACUUAAGCAUCUUAACUUUGGCUGGCUGGUGUUCUAUGUCAUUUGCUACCUGGAGAAAAUGGUAUGAAAUUUCUAAUAUUGAAGUAUUGACUAGCAGAUUGUGUUGCUUCUUAUAUGACACUUGCAUGUGAAGUACUGUUACAUAUAAACACAUAGGCAACAAUUCAACACAGAGGCGAAGGUUUGAUCCUACGUACGUUCACUUGGAAGUCCUACUAAAUCAAUGCAACAUAUUCUAGUGUGCAUAGAAUUGUCCCUUAGCUAUGUUUUAACUCCACUGAAAUCAAUGGGUUUAUCUCACCUAAUUCUGUGCUGGAUUGCGGACACAAUGUAGUUUUAAAUCAGGUGUGAAAGAAUUCAAAGCACAAUGGAGGCUAGAAGUGAACAGAUGUUACCUUUUGUGAAAUCUGUAAAAAGAACACACUGAAGCGCAAUACAAAAACCUAACAAGGCUCCAAAAUACAUAUUUUUUUGUAAAGUAUCAUGAAAAGAAUAGGAUGCAUCCCUCAAAGCUUACUUCCUUGAAAGUCAUUUAAAUACAGGGAAUGAUUGGCUUGAAGACUGCAGAGUAACCUUGUUCUUUUUGGUGCUGGAGGGGUUUUUUUUCCAUUGCCCAUAACUUUUUGGAAGGUCAGUAAUUUGAAGGAAAUGCAGUAUUUUAGCUUCCAAUGGAACCAGAAAUUUAAGUCAAGCUGUAGGCAAGUUAAAAGCUUUAGAUUGUCAUAAGGGAGAAAUAGAAUAGGUAAUUCUGCUGUGGGAUAUAAGAGCCAGUGGCUCUACUCUAUACUGCAUUAAAGGCCUUAUUUCUUUAACAUUUUAAUGAUCUGGAGUAUCACUUUUUUUUUCUUGAGGCAUGCUGUGAAAUGGGGUGGGGAGAAAGCAAUAAGAACUCUGAAAUAUGAAUAUAAUGAUACUUGCAUUAACCAUGUUGACUUUUGUAUUAAAUAUGAACAAAUAUGGUGGCCAAGAAUUUGACAAAGAUUCUGAUUACCAGUGUUGUUGAUAUUCUGGUUUACGGGUUUAUAAAAUAGUUCCAUUGGAUUAUCAAGAUUUGUUUUCAAAUCAACCUUUUUAUUGUAUAGGCAUUUCCAGAAAACCAACAGGCGUAAUUAUGGCGAGGGUUGUUUGUUUUCUUAAAUAGCAAGAUCAACCCCGCGAUAUCAUGGUCCAUGGGAGGCAUCAGACCUUCUUCUCUGAGAGAGGGAGAACUGAUGUUGGAUGCACUCUCCCUGCCAUUGCAGAAACCUCCGUGGUACUUGCUCCACUAAUGUUACUGAUCCGUAGGGCUGAAAAGGGUGUGUGCUAGAGGUGAAUUGGAGCUGUGCUUGGGGCAAAUUAAGGGAAUUUACGAUCUGAAGAAUACAUAGAUUUCCAAGAAGCCUGACAUGCCCCUGAAUCAUGGAUAGUCCCAAGACCUGUCCCUUUUCAGUGAGCUGUGAAGAAUUGAAAAUGAUACAGCAUGUAUUCGAAUAAGUACUCAAGUCAUUUUUUAAUCCUUGAAAAGAUACUGGAUUGACUCCAACAGAUGUUCACUUGCACAACAGGAUUUCAACUUUUGCUCCUCCCACUCCAUAGUCACCUGUUAUUGUUAUUAUUAUUAUUAUUAUUAUUUAUUAAAUUUGUAUUCUGCCCUGUACCUGUAGAUCUCAGGGAGGUUCACAGCAUAAAAUCAUACACACCUCCCAUCUCCCUUUGGAGCAGAUUUUGGGGGAACAUGGGUGUGGGAGGAGAGGAAGGGGAAGUCUUGCUGUCUGAACAGGGCCCUGCUCCCACAACAUUGAAUUACACUGUUGUGAUUAAUGUAUGCUGAAUUGCAGACUGGAUGCUUUGUUGAGCUAACAAAGUAAGUUUAUUGCAUGGUGAUUGACUGAAAAACAACAACACUAUUUUGAGUUGUAGUUUGUGAAAAUGGUCAAAACCAUCCACCCUAACAUAAAGAAUGAAGAUGCUGUUCCAAAUGAUGUUUCUGAUAUGUAGAAAUAUGCAACCAUUUGCUUGGCAUUGAUUUUAGGAAUCUUUUUCAAUAAGCACUUGAGCUUUUUCACUUAGGCUGAGAGCUUUGCACAACGUAACUUAUCAGAUGAAGGCAAAUAUCAUGCAACAGUCUAUAGCAUGAGCUGACUAUGGCCACAUUCUGUAAUCAAAUGCACAUACUGAAUGCCACUGAUUUAGAUGAAGUAAAUCUCUGCUCUGAUCCAUAAUGUAUUAGAUUAUGUUACAUUUGGUUUCUUAUGACCCUUCUCACUGGUGGAAUAGUAAACCCUUUGAAUUCACAUUUUAUAUUACUAAUAUUGAGAAGUGGAAAUGCAUACUUCACCAGAAGUAGUAAGGAUGAACCAUGGCAUGUAUUCCACAGUUCAAGCACCAGUUGGUAGUGAUAUGGCAUGCCUAAUUCAUGUUCCCAAAUAAUGUUAAGAUGAAAGCCACGUCUGCACUUGAGUUUUUAACAUUUUAUUUUUGGUUCAGCAGUGCAAGCUACUGAACUGGGGAAGUAUUAAGGAGGCUGGGGUUGCCAAACUGAAAGUGAACCCCCCCCCAUGUUAACCACCUUUUCUACUUUCCUUUAUACUAGAUUCUUGCAUUACUUUUAAACAGUGUCUAAUAAAAAUGUAUAUUGGAAAACAAUAUUUCCCCAGCCUCUGAGCUCAAAUAGAUAUGCUGUGCCUUGUUUUCUGUUCAGAUAAACGUUAAGAACAUCUUGAAGUAACAUUAAGGUUAUUCAUGUUUGGAUAGGAGAGCAUAGCCCUUCAUAAAUGUGCAUAGCUAUUUAAUUUUACUGCUUUUGUUGUGAGGGAACUGGUGAAUCUGAUGAGCUUGGGAAAUAUAUAUGCUGGGUGGAAUUCCCAUCAUUCCCAACCAUUGGCCAUGCUGGCUGGGACUGAUGGGAGAUGGAGUCCAGCAACAGAUGGGGGGGGGGGGCUACAUUAGCUACUUCUGUGCUUCACAGUGUCUUGCAAAUUUGGCAUUGGAUUUUCUGUGUGCUUUUUACUUUCUCAUGCACCAUCAUUAUGUAUACAUGCAAUGACAUCCAAAAAGGUGGAAGCUGGAUUCAAUGCAUGGGUCACCUUUGCUGGCUGCAAUAUAUAUACUCUGACUAGAAUUAAAAGGAUAAAGUCAGUUGAUACGAAAAUUCCUGCAGUCUUUGCAGUUUAGUAUGUGGAGUAAGAUUAGUAGAUAAUUGUAUGUAGCUUACUGAUCUUUAAAAAAAAUGAUUUAAAUGAAACAGAGAUGGAAAGCUGCACUUUCCGAGACAAAUCCACAAUAAGGCUGGGUCCAGACUGUUGUUGAUUGAGCCUACUGCUGACGCAUACCACUGUAUCAAAAUUAUAUAUACUAUUGUAUAAAAUAACCUAUUGUAUGCUCUUGUUAUAUGGCAUAGCAGAUAUUAAUCAUUAUAUUUUAUCCGGUAGAGUUUAAAGCCAUUAGAAGUUAUAAACAAAGUAAUUUUCACAGAGGUGAGGACAGGAGGCCUAUUAAUUAAUGUCUUGGUCAGCCAACAUUGUAGGUACAUUUAUUAUUUCUCCCCCAGAAAAUGUAAUGGGAAGUGAAUUACAGCAUUUAUCCUGUGUCUUGAUAGAGAACUCAAGAGAACCUGUCGUGGCUUUGGAUUGUGUUAGUUCUGCACUGUUGCAGAAUGGAACAAAAAAGCUUGUGAGACUUGCUUGGUCAAAUUUCAUGUAGCUUUGCCAUCUUUUCCUAGUUCCUGAAUCUUACAUGGGCAAUGGGGGGGACGGGGACACAAAUGGUUCAACAGGAGGUAAAGCUGAGUUAUCAUGAAAUAGAUGACACUGCAACUUUUCAUUGCCUCUGAAGGCACCACUUCAUUCUGCUUCUCUGGCAUGGCUCUAGUAUUUUUCUAAGGGCUUUACUACAAAGGAUUCAUUUUUCCUUCAAAUGCUAUUGAGAAUCUGACAAAAUUGUAGGUGUGUUUCCAAUUGCUGCUGCUUCAGGUUUUCCACCUUUAGUUACAAUAAUAAAUGGUAUUUUUGUACCUCACCCUUUUCUGAUUUUAAUAUUUUUCUCUCCAGACAAACAGGAAAUCAAAUAGUAAGAAUUUUAGAGAAUGAUUAUAGUCUGCAGACAAAGCUCAGUUUGAUUCGUCUUUAAGAGCUUAUUUUUAAAUGUACUAACUCUCAGGGAGAUUAUUGAAUCUAAGGACAUUGCCUGUUUUCAGUUUUGCUAUUGAAUUCUAUACCGAUAUGUAUGAAGUAAUCUAUAUUAUCAUGGGUUUGCUUGGGAGUGGGAAUUGUUGGGAAAGAAUUUGAAAUGGUUCUUAAAAGAAAAAACAACCAGAAACUUUGUGUUGGUUAAUUUUUAUACAUACAAACCCCAUAUAAACAAAAGUCAUAGUGUUUAAGACAGUGAGCCCAGCAAUUAAGCAACAUCAGAGGAGGCAGGGAUUAUGGGGUUUUGUGUGUGUUUAUGUGUAAUGAGAUUAAUUCCAUCAUUAACACCACAACUGACUUUAAGAUUUAAUCUGCAGGGUUGUUGUUUUUUACUCACAUAAAUGAAAUGUCCCUGCUCCAGAAAUUAAAUGUCUCCUGUAUCCUGUUGAAAUCGGUAGAAUAGGUUAGGUAUGGUAUGGCUAAUUUAAGUCUUUUUUAUUGAUUUCAAUAGGACUUGGCUAUGUUUUGGAGCUGAAGAAGGCAGAUCAGUUGGGAAAGACCCAUGUGAGUGGCCUCACCCAUGUGAUUUCAAUCUUCACACACACCCCAGCAAUGAUGGACUUCACCAGAAAGCAGCUGCAUUCACACUGCUCUGCGUGCAUAACAAGAACAAAGGCUAAAUGGAAACUUUAUCGUAAGUAUAUAAAAGAUAAUAGCACUUCUCUGCAACCACAGUGAAUUUGACUUCUACAGGUUUUAUUAAUUUAAGUAGGUAAGCAGUAUGGUGAAAAUGAUAGCUAUGUUGCAGCUUCUAAUUGGACGGUAUUACAGUAGGUGACUUUUAUUGUAUACUAGUCCAGCCAGUGUUCAAAUACAGCUUAAUAGUGCACCCCAGAAAACCCAUAUUCUUAAAACAUUAAUCCCCAUUAAUCUCAUGUAACUUACUUUCAAGUGUGAGCUCUGGACUCUGAGGUGCUUUGUGAACAUGGUAACUCACAGGAGUGGAGUAGUCGUAUACCGGCAGCUGCUCCCUACCCCUUAAUGUGUUGUAGCUGGCCUAUUAAGGAUAGCUACAUGGCUUUACUUGGAGACGGGCAAAGUUGAGGAAGAGCAGGGCAUCCACAGCUUCCUUGCAUGACAGCCUAUGUCCUUUUACAAUAGCAAGGAAUGGGGCAGUGCAUUCCUCAAUGAGGAUUGGGAUAGAGGUCAAGUGGCAAUUAGGGCAGAGCCCAAUGGCUUCAUUCACCAGGCAUUGGAUCCUACUUUAAGCACAACAGCACAGGACACAAUUUGCAUCACUAUGGCUAAAGAAGACAGAAAGGCCAAAGCAAUUGUGUGGAUUUUCUUCAGUGGAACUGCAGAGUUUUUAAGUGUGUAUGAUGUACAUUUAUGGAUUGUAGCAGUGGCACCUUUAAAAGUCAAAGGACAACCAGCUUACUUAAUUACUGGAAUCCAUUGAGCUCAGGGUUUCAGGCUAAGGCUGUAUAUCAGGGAGGUAACUUCUCAGCUGGAUAUUAUAAUUUCACAAAGCCAGUAAAUUUAGGAUGCACUUGUUGGGAAUAUUAAAACAAACUGAAAUGUAAUAUUAACAUCAUGACAUUUGGCAUUUUGAAGGGUUCAUUAACAAACCAGACCUUGUGUUAAAAUGAAUUGUUAAAAAACAGCAACCCCAGACUUCAUCACACUAGAAGCAAAAGGCAUAAACAAACAAGAGUAUCACACAUAGCAAACAAUAGUCUGAGGAUAGAUGCCAUUGUGCAGCCGCCUGAAAACUGUAUAGAAAUUCACACUAAAAAAUUAGCACUUUCUCACAGAAAUAUAAGCUUUCUUUAAAGUGUACAGGCCAUGUUCAGUUCUGGUAGAACAGCACUAUAAUUGCCCUGAUCAACAAAAGUGGUAUGGUCCUUAGUGUUCGCAGAAUUUAAGACCUAUCUGGCAUUUAUUUCCUUCCAUUUAAUGAGAAAAAGAUGGGGCUUGUUACAAAUCCAUCUUUUCCCUCCCAACCAAUCAUAGAUGCUCAUCAUGUUUUGUCCUUGCGUGGACAGCUAACAUAAUAAAAGGUCUGCAAUGGCAAAUUCAUUUCCCCACACUGAAUGGCAAUGGGGAACAAUGAGAUGCUGCUAUGGAGAUAUAACUAUGUGGAAUAUUUUAAUCACAUUCUCUUCUGGUUCAUAUGUGUAAGUAUUACAUGUCAUAUUAACCAGAAGUGUUAUUAACCAGAAACGCAACUGCCUAAAGAUGUUUUCUUUUUUAAAACAGAGCAAAUAAAUAUCAACAAUUUAAAAUAAAGGGAAGACAGCUUAUUACUGCUGAUGGUUAGUGCCUCUGACAGCUUCAGCACUUCCAAAUGAGGAUUCAUUUAGAGUAAAUGAAGAAAAAGCGUUUUCAGCAAAACCAGUGGUAUGCUAUCCAGGAAGCAGAGGCAGCUUGCAUAGCAUUAGUGCAAACUUGAUCAAAGCAAAAUCCAAGACUUGCAAGCCUGCAAAAACGAUUGUAAAGAAAUGCAUUUGCAAAGCAUUCCUUUUCCACAUGUUUUAAAAGGCCAUUCCAGGCUUGUUUCCUUUGCUAAAAGUUGUGUGCAUACUAUACCAAUCAUCAAGAUCAUGAUGCUUAACUUAAAGUGAACUAAUUUUGAUUAAACAGUCAUCUGAGAUCUUAUCCUGCACUCCGGGUGCAGGGGAGAACUUUCAUUGAGUUCUGCUAAAAUAAGACAGUGGUUCUGCCAACCAUGUUAAAGAAAAAUGAGGAGGAACUAAAAUGGAAUUAUUUCUGACUUAAAGCCAGUGGGUGACCAAAUCAGAAUGUUAAGGCGAUUUUGAUAUUUUCAAACAAGUUCCAGAUGGCGAGACAGAAAAACCCCCAACCCUACCUGCUUUUAACAUUAAAGUAGCAAAACCACAGUAGUAACAACAAAUGGCACAAUUAAAAAAGAUCAAGUAAUUGAAAACUUUAGUUCUGGUAACAUCAGAAGAGCCCAGUGCUUGGAUGUGCUGACCCUCUUGCUAUGUUCCAUAUUCCAUUUUUAUAAAAGACUCAUAUGAGCAGAUUAAGCUAUGAAAGUCACCAUGUCAGUAAAAUAGAACAAUGCUUACAAUUAUGCCAAAAAAUAGCUAGUCAGGUGGGAAAGCUGUCUUCCAAAUUAAACACAGUGUACUAAAUUAAAUUGAGUGGAGAGAUAAUUGCUUCCGUCCAGCAGUUUGCUGGCCACAAGAGCUCCAGUGCACAUGAGUGUGCCAAGUCCCACAUGUGCAAGGAGCUCCCACAUGUGAAAGGUCUUCCCAGUUCACUUCAAUGUCAGGUUCAGCUCUGCAUGCUCAUCUCCAUUGUGCUUGUGGAGUUACGCCCAGCAGUAAAGUGAAAGGGAAGCUCAAUUGUAAGGGAUACCUGUGUGCAUAUUGGAAUGCCCAAACGGGUUUAAAUUGAGCUCCAUAUGCAAUGCCUGAUGUUUCAGUUACCAUUGCAGAGAUACGAAAUGACUUGUGAUAUUGUGCAAAACAUGAGUCCUCAGAGAUAUGGGAACUACCAUAUAUAGCCAAUUUCAUCCUCCUUGUCGUCAUCUUCAUCUUCAUCAUCAUCAUUAGCUGCUCUUACAUGGAUCUUCUGUUUCCCUUCUUGGUCCUUUUUUGCUGCUUCAUGUUCCUCUUCCAGAUCAUCCAAUAAUAUCACUGAUCCACCACUACCGAAAUCCCCUGAGGUUUCUUGCUCCUCUUCUGCAACCGGGAAGAAUUCACAGUUAUACUUUAAGCCCAAUUUUCUAUCAAAACAUGUCAAUGUUCUCAUUAUUUAAACUAUUUAAUUCAUCCCUCCCCCCUAACAUGUCUGCUUUCU